rnacentral:lncRNA from 1 species
CCUCUUUGUUGGUGUUCUUGAAGCCAACAAGAAGAGCCUCUUACAUGAAUCUGAAGAUUUUCGACAGUCCGAAAGUUUGCUUAAAAAAUCAGUUGAUCCAAUACGCGUCACAAGAUGGCUCGUUCCCCCUUCAGGACCUAGUACCAAAGAAUCACCGGGUACAAGAUGGUUCGUUCCACCUUCAGGUCCUAGUACCAAAGAACCACUAGUUAGGAGAUGGUUUGUUCCACCCUCAGGACCUAGUACCAAAGAACCACCGGUUGCACACAACGCAAAUAUGAAUUUAUGGUGACCAUCACAACGUCUGGUUUUAGGAAUGUUACCUAAGAAUGUUCCAAUUCCUCCAAUGAGAACUAGCAAAAA